CAUCGCAAGGUGGAAUCUGAAAGAAGCUGGCGGCAAACAUCUGACCUAACGAACAGGAACUUCAUAUAAGGCAUAUGACCGUGGGUAAGGUUGCAAAACAAACCAAAGCCCUAUAGCUAUUCGGAACGGUCGGUGGUGUGAGAGGGUCGG
rnacentral:ncRNA from 1 species